rnacentral:rRNA from 1 species
UACGGAGGGUGCGAGCGUUGUCCGGAAUCACUGGGCGUAAAGGGCGCGUAGGUGGCCGAGCAAGGUUGCGGUGAAAGCCCGGGGCUCAACCCCGGGUCGGCCGUGGCAACUACUCGGCUUGAGCACUGUAGGGGCGGGUGGAAUUCCGGGUGUAGCGGUGGAAUGCGUAGAGAUCCGGAAGAACACCGGUGGCGAAGGCGGCCCGCUGGGCAGGGAGGCUCGCAAGAGCCGGCUGACACUGAGGCGCGACAGCGUGGGGAGCAAACAGG